GACGAACGCUGGCGGCGUGCUUAACACAUGCAAGUCGAACGGAAAGGCCUCUUUCGGGGGGUACUCGAGUGGCGAACGGGUGAGUAACACGUGAGUAACCUGCCCUUGACUUUGGGAUAACUUCAGGAAACUGGGGCUAAUACCGGAUAGGAGCUCCUGCUGCAUGGUGGGGGUUGGAAAGUUUCGGCGGUUGGGGAUGGACUCGCGGCUUAUCAGCUUGUUGGUGGGGUAGUGGCUUACCAAGGCUUUGACGGGUAGCAGGCCUGAGAGGGUGACCGGCCACAUUUGGACUGAGAGACGGCCCCGAUUCCUACGGGCGGCAGCAGUGGGGAAUAUUGCACAAUGGGUGGAAGCCUGAUGCAGCAACGCCGUGUGCGGGAUGACGGCCUUCGGGUUGUAAACCGCUUUCGCUCAUGACGAAGCUUUGUGUGACGGUAGUGGGUAAAGAAGCAACGGCUAACUACGUG
rnacentral:rRNA from 1 species